GUCACGAUGCCAGAGUGGUUAAUGGGUUAGACUUGAAAUCUAAUGGCUUCGGCCGCGUAGGUUCAAAUCCUGCUCGUGACG
rnacentral:tRNA from 2 species